GAUUGAUGAGUGAGUUUUUGUACAAUAAGGAGUUUAAUAAUAUAGUACAAUUUUUGGUUUAAUAAUAAUUGUAGUUGAGAAAGUUUUUAAUAUUUUUGUAAAAGCAUGGGUUAGACUAGGAUUAGAUACCCUUUUAUAGUGUUUAUAUUUUUUAUUUUUAGUGAAAACUGAAAGAAAUUGGCAGUUAAUUAAAUUCUUCUAGGGGAUUGUGUUAUUUGAACAGAUGGUCCGCUUAAUUAUUUUUUUUAUUUAUGGUUAGUGUAUAUCCGGUUUUUGGAAAAUAAAUGUUUUUCAAUUAAUAUUUGUUAAGAUUUAGCCCAGGUCGAUAUGCUGCUUAUAUUAAAGAAUUUAUGCAAUACAUUAUAACUUUCAUAAAGGUAACAUUAUGGUAUUAAGGACUUAGAAGUAAUAUAAAAUAAUAAUGUUUAUGUGAAGGUUGAUUUAGUUAAGGUACACAUCGCCCGUCAUUUUCGUAUUAUAGCU
rnacentral:rRNA from 1 species